ACAUGUCUGGAAUCCUGUAGAGAUACGGGAGUGCCUUCGGGAAUCAGAACACAGGUGCUGCAUGGCUGUCAUCAGCUCGUGUCGUGAGAUGUUGGGUUAAGUCCGCAACGAGCGCAACCCUUGUCCUUAGUUGCCAGCACGUAAUGGUGGGAACUCUAAGGAGACUGCCGGUGACAAACCGGAGGAAGGUGGGGAUGACGUCAAGUCAUCAUGGCCCUUACGGCCAGGGCUACACACGUACUACAAUGGUCGGUACAGAGGGUUGCAAUACCGCGAGGUGGAGCCAAUCCCAGAAAGCCGAUCCCAGUCCGGAUCGAAGUCUGCAACUCGACUUCGUGAAGUCGGAAUCGCUAGUAAUCGCGGAUCAGCUAUGCCGCGGUGAAUACGUUCCCGGGCCUUGUACACACCGCCCGUCACACCAUGGGAGUGAGCUGCUCCAGAAGCCGUUAGUCUAACCGCAAGGGGGACGACGACCACGGAGUGGUUCAUGACUGGGGUGAAGUCGUAACAAGGUAGGCGUAGACGU
rnacentral:rRNA from 1 species